rnacentral:rRNA from 1 species
AUACGGAGGGUCCAAGCGUUAUCCGGAAUCAUUGGGUUUAAAGGGUCCGCAGGCGGUCAAUUAAGUCAAAGGUGAAAGCCCAUCGCUCAACGAUGGAACUGCCUUUGAUACUGGUUGACUUGAGUUAUACGGAAGUAGAUAGAAUAAGUAGUGUAGCGGUGAAAUGCAUAGAUAUUACUUAGAAUACCGAUUGCGAAGGCAGUCUACUACGUAUAUACUGACGCUGAGGGACGAAAGCGUGGGGAGCGAACAGGAUUAGAAACCCUAGUAGUCC